UUUUGUUUGUUUCCCUUUAUUUUUAUUCCUUGGAGAUCCACUGCAAACCUCCGAGCUGAUCAGCGUGGUUUGGCAUGUGGGGUGCUGAAAGAGUGCAAACAGGGGGAAGGAGGUGGAUGCUGGAUGAUGGGGCUGCUGAAUAUGCUGAGUGGUGUGCAAGGGAAGCUACUGCCUCCUUAGCCUUCCAGGAAUACCACUUACAAGCCUGCUGUGAUGCUGCUUAGUCUUACCCAUGUGCUUGAGGGAAUUGAAUCUGGAUGAAAAGGUGUGCUGCAAAUGUCCUGGUCCUUGUGGGGGACUACAAUGAUGCAGAUAAUCUGCUGGAAGGACAACAGCAGGGCACAAGUGAUCUAGGAGAUUUCUGGAGUCCAUUGAUGACAACUUCCUGACCCAACUGACUGAGGUGCCAACAAGGAGAGGUGCUUUGCUGGCCAUGAUACAAGCAAAGAAGGACUGGUUGUAGGCAUCAAAGUCAGGGGCAGCCUUGGCUGCAGUUACCAUGAGGUGGUGGAGUUCAGGAUCCUGAGAGGAGGGAGCGGGACAUCAGCUGUGGACUUCAGAAGGAGUUUGGCCUCUUCAGAGAGCUACUUGGAAUAAUCCCAUGGGAUAGAGACAUGGAGAGAAGAGGGAUCCAAGAGAGCUGGCUGAUAUUCAAGGAUCACCUCAUCCAAGCUCAAAAAUAGCCUAUUCUGACAAGCAGGAAGUCAAGCAUGGGUCAAGCAGGAUGUUGUUUUCCUUGACUUUGGUAAGGCUUUGGACUCUGUCCCCCAUGAUGUCCUAAUAGAGAAGCAAAGUAUGGGUUAAAUAAGUAAACUGAGGUCAGCUGAGAAUUGGCUGAAUGUCUGUGCCCAGGGGGUGGUGAUCAGUUGCACAAAUUCCAGUAGGAGGCAAGUCACUGGUGGUCCACUCCCAGAGUCAAAAAUUGAUCCAAUCCUCUUCAAUGGCUUCACUAAUGAUCUGGAUGAUGGAGCAGAGUAUACCCUCAGCAAGUUUGCUAAUGAUACAAAACUGUGUGGAGUAGUUCAUACACCGGAGGGUUAUGCUGAAAUUCAGAGGCACCUUGACAGGCUGGAGAAUUGGGCAGAGAGGAACUUCAUUAAUGGGAAGCCCUGCACUUGGGCAGGAAUAAUCCCAUAUAACUGUACAUGCUGAGUGCCAACUGGCUAGAAAGCAGCUCUGCAGAAAGGGAUCAGGAUCCUAGUGGACAGCAAGUUGAGCGUAAGCAAGCAAUGUGCUCUCAUGGCAAGCAUGGCCAACAGAAUUCUGAGCUGCAUUAUGAAGAGCGUUGCCAGCAGAUGGAGGGAGGUGAUCCAUCCUCUCUGUUUAGCACUGGUGAGGUCACAUCCAGUGGCGAGUGUCAAGUCCAGUUCAGAGCUCCCUCGUACAAGAAAGAGACGAACACAUUGGAGCAAGUCCAGCAAAAAACCACAAAGGGACUGGAGCAUCUUAUGUAUGAGGAGUGGCUGAGAGCUGAGACUGAGUCUCCAGAAGGGAAGGCUUGGGGGAGUGGAUCUUAUCCAUUGACAGGACGAGUCAAUGAGCACAAAUUAAAGCCCAUUAAAUUCCAUCUGAAUACAAGGAAACAAUUUAUUACUAUGAGGGUGAUCAAACACUGGCACAGGCUGCCCAGAGAGGUUGUUUAAGUUGUUGCUUGUGGAGCUAUUCAAAAGCCAUCUGGACAUAGUCCAGGGCAGCCUGCUCUAGGUGACCCUGCUUGAGAAGAGGUCUAGUACUAGAUGAUCUCCAGUGGUCUCUUCCAACUGCAGCAAUUCUGUGAACUCUUUUAAAGUCCUGGCACUAAAAGCAGCAAGUUUGAAAAAACCAGGAACUGUGAAAAGAAGAAAAUCUUUUUCAGUUGGUUACUCUCGUGUGAAAGGGAUAGAAUUCCUUUUUUGAUUUGCCCCAGUGUAACUGUGGCAGCUACCAUCAUCUACGAGCAUUCUGGAGUAAGAAGUGUUUUGGGCUCUUUUUUUUUUUUUCUCUAACUCUUUUAAAUAGUGUGGGCCAAAGGAGAGUGCAGUAAUGCUAAACAAGGAACAAAGUUUCAUGGCAAUACAGUCACUGGUUAUUGCAACAGAUACGUUGUGCUUGAAUUCUUCCGCAGAAUGCAUCAUACUUCACCUGAGGCACUUCAAAUAUAUAUGGCUUAUAGAAAAUGCUGAUGCCCUAGAGAAGAAGGGGAGGAAAAGUUAUGGCAAGUGAAGCGUUGCACUUCCCCUUCCGUGUGUGAGAGCAUAAUUUGUGACUAUAUAUGUAUAUACAGAUCACUGCAUCUGAAAUGGGAGAAUUGGACAGGAUGAUGCUUGAUAGGCAGUUCUUUAUAAAAUAAAUCAAAUGGGAAACACAUCUUAGCCAAGUGUAUGCCUCCCUAUAAAAAGCUUUGCAAGUACUGAAAUUCAGACUAGGUUAGUUUUCAGGUAGUACUGACUGGAGAGGAUUCAGAGUUUUGCCACUCCUAAAUUGGUGCAGGUUCUUAAAGUAUAUGUAGGGAAUUGUUUAAUGCCUGUUACUUUAGAGAUUCUUGCUACUUACUGUAAGGAGGAGCAAGACAUUGAAUCCAGUUUUAAAAUGUAACAACACUUAAAAGGAAAUCUCUGCUCAAAAACCUGCAGGAUUUCGAGCCAGUGAACAACAGCAUACACUUGCUCAAAGAAUCUGCGUGGCUGUGUUCAGUCUCUGCAUUAGCUGUGAAAUGAUCUGGGGAACACAUUUCAAUUACAAUAUGGAAAGUAGUGUUAGGUUAUUCUUGUUAACGAAUGUUUUAUCAAGUUACAGUCCCCACGUGUUUAUUAUUGCUCGGAAAGAGAUUCUGGUAAGCUGUUGACUGCUGUUCCUCUAGUACAAAAAUCCAUGGUUGUAGUUUAGAGGAAUGGUGAGAGUGGAUUCAAGUGGAUUUGUGCGGAAGUAGGUAAGGAGAAUAUAGAUCAGCAGUGGGUACAACAACUUUUUCUUCAAGGUAGUAACACAUAGCUUUGGAUGGGAACUUAUUGAACUGCCUCCAGCCAAUCCACAAGUCAUUUCUCUGUGCCCUCGGGAUGUUUCCUGUGCCAGUGGCUGUGUCUUUCCUUCUUCAAGAAAAGAGCAAUCUUACAACAGACUUUAGGGAGAAUCUUCAGUAUUUUUGACUUGGAAUCUGUGCUUUUGUCUUACAUGCAGCAUGACACCUUGAUACUAGUUGAUGUGUAUUUUCAGGUUAUUUGUAGGUGACUGCAACUGUGUAGACAGUUUCUUAUUAUUUUUGAGGAGAACUAAUAAGUUGGAACAAAGAAGGUAUACCAUGUAAUUUAUCCAAAAUGUUUGGUAAUGCUAUCUUUAUUAAAUGAGCAAAAACUCCAGUGUUUGUUCUCUACUAAUAUAAAUGAAAGAAUGAAGAAUAUAUGCACUUUUUUCUAUUUGCAGCUUUUUUAGGUUUCUUCCUCCUCUAUAAUUAAAACUUACUUGUUCUUACUUUAUGAAAGAACAUUCAUGGUAUGUAGAUCUUUCUUUCAUUUAAAUACCUUGAUAUCAGAAAUAUGUCCUAAAAAUAUCUAGUAGCCAAGCUUAAGAGAACUAUCACACUCAACAUUUUAAUCAGAUAAUUUUUCCCUUUGGCACAAUUUGUGCUUUGCAUUCUUCAAGUUCUUUAGUUGUAUGAACCUGUACCUUGCACUAUCCAAGAGUGAAUAAUGGGGCCUUAAAUUUGUUGUUGC